UACGGAGACUGCGAGCGUUACACGGAUUCACUGGGCGUAAAGGGUGCGCAGGCGGCUAAUUGUGUCAGGUGUGAAAUCCCGGGGCUUAACUCCGGAACUGCGCCUGAAACUGAUUGGCUAGAGGCUCGGAGAGGUAAGCGGAAUUCCAGGUGUAGCAGUGAAAUGCGUAGAUAUCUGGAGGAACACCAAAGGCGAAGGCAGCUUACUGGAAGAGUUCUGACGCUCAGGCACGAAAGCGUGGGUAGCGAAAGGG
rnacentral:rRNA from 1 species